CAUGCACUUCAUCCGGCCUCAGAGGCCGGAUGAAGUGCAUGUGCACGAAAUCAACCAGUUAAUCGCCUCCUGAGCUUCCCUCACUUUCUCCUGCCCCAUGGACGGACCUCGUGUCGAUUAGCAGCUAGCGUCUAAGGGUUUGGCCGGGAUUGACAGGUCUGAGGUUUUCUGCCUCCAGGAUUUUCCCAAGCGGGGUCUAUAUGACAUCACCUUCCACCAGGAGGACCGAUGCCGCCAUUUUCUUGACUGUUUACAGAACAACAAGAGGGGCCCCGUAUUGAAACACAUCAAGUUCUUCCCUUUGUUCGGCUUGCGGGAGAGGCCCAUGAUCGUCCACCUGUUCAACCCGUUUGCGGACAUCGAGGUGGUGAUGACUUACCUGGAAGAAUACUGUGAUUCCGUACGCGGUGGGGUGAAGCAAAAGAACCGCUGGGGCAUAUUUAACGGGAAGUACAAGUUGUGGGUUCGCCCGAAAGUUGACCCUGCUUGUGCUGCAGGUAUAAUGCACCCUCCUGCAAACUUUAACAUUGCGGGUACGAGAGGGUAUUUGGUGUAUCCUGGGCAGCCGAGCUUCCGGAAGAAGCUCUCAUCCUCCGGGUAUUGUCCUUUCGAGAAGAUCUGCCGAGAUUGUGGUCAGCUAUCUCAUGACGGUGGGGACUAUGGUGAAUGUGACUUCUGUGGUCCUAUGUUGGAAGGGUACCCAAGAGUUAAGAGGGAGGAGGCGGUGGUGGAGAAUGAGGCUACAAUGGAGGAUAGGAAGAAGCUAAAGGCUUAAGAGGACCAUUCGUCUAGGAUAACUAUUGCCAAGGUCCAAAAAGGUCCCGUAAUUCCAAGUCCUUUAAAUCUAGACCUAGACGUGGAUCUCUCCGAAAUCUGACAGAUGGAAAAUCCAGGACUUUCUUUUUAGUGAUAAAAUAAUUUUUUCUUCCUUUAGUAUGCCCGUGAGGGACUUUACAAAAGAAAACCAAGAGAGCAGCCAUUGUGGUAGUGUUUACUGACUCUAUUGGCGGCAUUAUGUGGUACCACGGGUGGUGUGGGGAAAUCUCACUAGUGAUGAGCGGCAUAGGCCAUAUUCGAAUUCGCAAUAUUUUGCGAAUAUUCGCGAAAUUCGCAUAUUCAUUC